rnacentral:lncRNA from 1 species
UCUAUAUUUUAAUGAUUUCUUAUGGAAAUUCUUAUUUUGAUUUGUGUUGUUUCAGUAUGUAUCACAUUUUUCAAGAACUUAUUUACAAUGCAAAGUGGGGUCUGCAUGUAUUUUCUAAAAAAUGGUUUUCUUAAAAAAUAUAGAAAAACCCCAACUUACAUAAGUGGAUCAUUCAAUCAAAUCCUAUGUAAACUGAAACAAAUGUAUAGUGGAGUAUAUCCUAUAUAGUGCUAAUAUAUCACAAAGAUGUAACAUUCUUUAAUGUAACUAUUUUUUAUAAGCAUGUAAGUUGCCAGAUGACCAUGUAGUAAAACAGUCACUUAUCAUCUUGAAGGAUCUAGAUUCAAUUCAGAAUACCAAACAUCCAUUUUUACAGAAUGGGUCUAGAUCUGUAUCUGGUUUAUUACCUAAAACUAACCUAAUAAGCAUAUAAAAGACAUAUACAUAUGAUAAAUGAUGAAAUUAAGAG